AAGUCGUAACAAGGUUUCCGUAGGUGAACCUGCGGAAGGAUCAUUAUUGAAAUAAAUCUGAUAGGUUGUUGCUGGUUCUCUCGGGAGCAUGUGCACACUUGUCAUCUUUAUAUCUCCACCUGUGCACCUUUUGUAAAUCUGAAUAUCUUUCUGGAUGCCUGCCAUUCAGGUUUGAGGAUUGAUUUAUCUCUCCUUACAUUUUCAGGUUUAUGUUUUCAUAUACCCCAUGUAUGUUAUAGAAUGUAAUAAACGGGCCUUUGUGCCUAUAAAUUUAUACAACUUUCAGCAACGGAUCUCUUGGCUCUC
rnacentral:misc_RNA from 1 species